rnacentral:rRNA from 1 species
UACGGGAGGCAGCAGUGGGGAAUAUUGCACAAUGGGCGCAAGCCUGAUGCAGCCAUGCCGCGUGUAUGAAAAAGGCCUUCGGGUUGUAAAGUACUUUCAGUCGUGAGGAAGGUGUUAAGGUUAAUAACCUUAGCAAUUGACGUUAGCGACAGAAGAAGCACCGGCUAACUCCGUGCCAGCAGCCGCGGUAAUACGGAGGGUGCGAGCGUUAAUCGGAAUUACUGGGCGUAAAGGGCACGCAGGCGGUUAAUUAAGUUGGAUGUGAAAUCCCCGGGCUUAACCUGGGAAUGGCAUUCAAGACUGGUUAGCUAGAGUCUUGUAGAGGGGGUAGAAUUCCAUGUGUAGCGGUGAAAUGCGUAGAGAUGUGGAGGAAUACCGGUGGCGAAGGCGGCCCCGUGGACAAAGGACUGACGCUCAUGUGCGAAAGCGUGGGGAGCAAACAGGGAUUAGAU